CCAUGGCCGCUUUUCAAAUGGGUUAAUAUAAUCUCUAUUUUUCCCCCCUUGUCUUUGCUGAAGCAUUGGUGUGUGAGAGUUGCUGAACCACCCGAGUGGCUGUGGAUCCUUCGUGUGAUACAUGGUCGAGGACACGCUCCACCCCUUUCCUCCUUGGCGAUCUGGAACUAAACAAGGAGAAAAAGGCAAAGGUCUAAUAACAAUUCCCUUUGAAGAGAGAUAUAAAAUAAGGUCAGUGGAGCCAAACCAUUAUUGAAAUGUAUAAAAUAGUUUAAUGUUUG
rnacentral:lncRNA from 1 species